rnacentral:rRNA from 1 species
AUUGAACGCUGGCGGCAGGCCUAACACAUGCAAGUCGAACGAGUGGCGGACGGGUGAGUAAGGUCUGGGAAACUGCCUGAGGGAGGGGGAUAACUACUGGAAACGGUCGCUAAUACCGCAAACCACCAGAUGUGCCCAGAUGGGAUUAGCUUGUUGGUGGGGUAACGGCUCACCAAGGCGACGAUCCCUAGCUGGUCUGAGAGGAUGACCAGCCACACGGGAACUGAGACACGGUCCAGACUCCUACGGGAGGCAGCAGUGGGGAAUAUUGCACAAUGGGCGCAAGCCUGACGCAGCCAUGCCGCGUGUAUGAAGAAGGCCUUCGGGUUGUAAAGUACUUUCAUCGGGGAGGCGUUACCCGCAGAAGAAGCACCGGCUAACUCCGUGCCAGCAGCCGCGGUAAUUC